UCCUCCACACGGCGCUGCCCGGCUCCACAGGUAGAGCCUUCCAGCGCGCCCCUGAGAAGCUGGUGAAGGCUGCCUUUGCCAAGAAAGUCCAGCCUUCUUCUGCUCCUUUUUGGGCAGUCCAGAAGGAAAAUAUGUGUCUCCUUCCAUAACAGUCUGGCUUUCUUGUCAGAAAGGCAAAAAACACCUUUAAAAUGUUCUGAAGAAAUGGACCAGUUGGUACUGUGGUUCAACUGCUCAAAACACACCAGAAACUCCAAAUGUGGCUCUAAGUGACCUUCAGGUAAUAUCUAAGUCUGCCUGAAGAUAAAAAUAAUAGAAUCAUCAAGUCAUCAAGGUUGGAAGAGACCUUCAAGAUCAUCCAGUCCAGCCAUCCACCCAGCACUGCCCCUGUAAGCCCUGAACCACUAAACCACAUCCCCCAAUGCCAGAUCCAGAUGCCUCCUGAACACCUUCAGGGAUGUGACUCCACCACAUCCAUGGGCAACCUAUUCCAAUGCCUGAUCAUCUUACAGUGAAUUUUUUUUUCUAAUACCCAAUCUGAAUGUCCUUUGUCUCAUCUUUUAGUCCUCUCACUGUAGGCACAGCAGAAGAGACCAGCCCCCACCUCACAACAACCUCUUUUUGUGAAGUUGUAAAGAGCAAUGAAGUCCACCCUGAGCCUCUGCUUCUCCAGGCUAAAGAACCCCAGCUCCAUUUGGGUGUCUCAGUACCCGACUCCAAAGAUAACUUAUCUGAAAGUGCCAAGGUGCUUAGAUCCUGCUGCUCCCAACCAGGCUCACUAGGGUAAAAACCUGCAAGUGCCUAGAGCAAGAAGAUAGUGCACAACUUUAAUGCUGCUAUUGAUAGUAUAAAAACUUAGAAUUUUUCAACAAUGUGAAUGGAGGCUGAGCAAAGGAGAGAACAUGAGCAAGAGCAAACCUCAACCCAACAGGCAAAAGCAAACCACAGGAGGGUGGGAGGGGUGCGCAGAGCAUGAGCACAGGGCUGACACUAUGACUUCACUAGUGAAGUAGGUCCUGAUAUUACCCCUUGCUACAUCAGGUCAUUAUCCCUGAAGGCAUGAAUUAAACAUUUAAACAAAUGGGGGCUCAGUCAACUUCCAUGCCUUUGGGGGAGAGAGCAGAUGAUGAUCAGAUGAUGCGAACUCCCUCAGAUUUGCCAAACCCAAGAUACACCCUAAAGAUGGCUUUGUUUACAGCACUGAAGACAGAACAUAGGCAGGCAGAGAAAAAAACCCAAAACAUUUCCAGGCUAUUCACUGGCUCUGAUGCUGAUGAAAUCACAGCCAGAUGUCAAACAGAUGUUAGAUUGUACCAGGUCAUGAAGAGGGGAUGCCUAUCUGAUGCCAUAUUCUAUGGUAACAUCCAUGCUAUGGCCAAAGAAGAGGAUAACAUUUCCUUUCCACCCCUUCUCUGCCAUUAACUCUCUCAGCUUUUUAAUACAAGAUGAUAGUGUUUGCCUUGUGAAGGACUUGGUCUCAGUUUUAUGACUUCUUCUGUUACCCACCUUUCACUUUUUUUUUUCUUUUUUCUUUUUUCCUUUUUUCUUUUUUUGUGAAAGAAGUUCACAAGGAGCAGGGUUAAAAGCAGGUUCUCACAGAGUGAACUGUAGUGAAGCACUCCUAGAAGUCACUGGGAAUUCACCUUGAAAAUCCAGAGCCAGAUGGGCAAAACCACAAAACCAGCAAAAACGUAAGGCAUGGUUCCUUUUGCUGUGAUGGAAAGGACUGUUACUUAUCUCACUCUGCCUUCUUGGUGCAGCUAUGAAGUUGGUCAAUAGAAAAGUUAUUUCAGAGUGGUUGGGGAAAGAGCUACAAAAGAGACAAGGAUGAAAGAAACAUCACAACACCAUGCUCUGCAGGCAACCUGCGCUCUGUGGGAGGUACUUCUCCAUCCGCCUAGCAAUAGUGCUGUCUGUCUGUCUGAAGGGGAGGAAGAAAGGUCCUGAAUACAAAUCUGACCUUUAUUUGCACUCACAUUAUGAGUGCAGGAGUAUGACUAACCUAAGCACAGAUCUCUAGAGUUUCAACCCUAAAACCACAGCUAGUGCCACAAUGGUUCUGUCAGAACAUCCUCUGUGGAAACUGGACACUUUCCUUUCUCAGCACAUCCAUUUAGCUGUUGUCCCCACAAAUGAGGUCUACAGCGAACUAUAAAAAUGGGCAAGAAAUUCACAACUAAGUUUAGGAGACAUGCUGUUUCCUAAGUUUGGUUUAUUUGUUUGAAUAGACCCAAAGUGUCAAGGAAAGUACAGAGUCUGACUAUGGAUUUAUAAGUACUCAAGUCAACCAUCCCCCCCACAAAAAAAAAACCAAAACCAAACAGAAAAAUCCCAAAAAACAACCACACAAAACCAAAAAACCACAGAUAAAUAAAGUUGAAUUACCUCAUGAAUAAUAUACCCAAAAGGUAAAGCCCUAGGGUAGUCCAAAGGAGCACCACAAAUAGCUUAAUCUCCAACACAAGAAGAGCAGUGUUGACUAUUCAAAGGACCCACCUCCAGGAAAUCAACAGAUUCAACUUUCAAAAAAACCUUUGGGAUGGAAUGAGUCUUGCAGAGAAGAAAAUGAGGAAAAAUGUGCAUCAUGAGCCUGUCCACCUGAAAAGGUGUGUCUGAUGGUAUUAGUUAUCUGACCAGCAUCAUCUAUUAUAAACCAGUACAGGUAACACAAAGCAUAAUCAGUGCAUCUGCAUGCAGCUUCAGGGAUUAUCUGAAAAAAUACUUCUCAAGCUGUGAUCACUACUGACUGCUUUUAUUUCUUCACUGUGACUAUAUCCAAAGCGGAUGCAAGGAUGAAAAAAUAAAGGAAACAGAAAUGAGCAAUAGUAAGAA